CGUUGGAGAAAUGUAACCGGAGACCUGUUCCAAUUACGAGUUUACUGCGUAAUUCCUAGCCUCCCUUGGCCUCUGUGGUCGGUGUUCUUUGCAUUGUAGGCUAGGCCUAUUCGUUGUAUUUGCACAUAUAUUGAAGCGGUUACAAUGAUGGCACGAAUCCAGCAUAAAUAGUAGAUAGAUUGACAAUGAAACCAAACACAUAGGGAAAAUUCAGCAUAAAGAGUGCGCCUUUCUAGGCUACGGACAAACAGAGGCCAUGGACCGCGGGACCCCAGGGAAUAUCUUGUAACGCUUCGAUCACACCGAAAGGGCCUUGCGCAAAAUGGUAUGCAGCAUCAUCUGGAUAUGUAUGUAACAAAAGUUCAACUUCUGCUACCAUUUCUGUCAAGCCGUCUACGCAUAAAGUUUGACGCAUACAUUCGAUAAAUCCAACGUAUGCACCACACAGAACGCACAGCAACUGCAAUGGUGCAAGCUAAACGCAGUGUUUCAUUGGUAAUUAAUGUAAUUCUGGUGUACCAAAAGACCGGAACACUGUAGGUGUGUUGGAAGGGUGACGCAGCGAAUUGCGCAAAAUAGGCUACAAGCUUCUGAGAGUUUACAAUUGGACCGUUUGCUGUUCGGACUCUGAUGGUGAACAGUGGUGCCAAUGCCAACCAAUGGAUGCAAAGUAAAUCAUCCCUUAAUCUCUUCACACAGCCUCUGUGCUGAUCUUGUGGGACUGUCUUUUUAUUCCAAAAUGUGCCUCUUGGAAAAUGUAUUAUGGAAAAUAAAUGAUCAUCUUGGAAAAUAA